rnacentral:lncRNA from 1 species
CUCAUGUAGCCCAGGCUGGCCUCGAACUCUCUAUGUAGCUGAGGAUGGUCUUGAACUUUUGAUCCUCCUGCCUCUUCUCCCAAGUGUUGGGAUUGCCGAAGUGCACCACCACGCCUGGUUUGUCUGUUGUUGGCGGAAGGAACCAUGGUUCUGUGAAUGCAAGGAACCACCAUGGGGAGUAUAGAGAAGGCCUUUGCUUACAGAGCCACAGUGACAGAAGGCUACUCUGCACUCCCGGACAACUGCUACCAAGCUGAGGACGAUCAAUCACCAAAGAGCUAAGCCGGAGCUCCCAUUUCCCCAGCCCCGGGCUCAUCAUCGCCCUCAGCCCAUGGCCCUGAUUCCAUUCCCAACUCUUCAUGAGCCAGUGGCGCCUGGGUGUCCAUGAGUUUGGGAGCACCCCGUCCCGGACUCAUUGCAGGCCUGUGGACCCGAGUGCUUCAUUCCCAACUUCUCUGUAUGGGUUUUCCGGCCCCAACUGGAUGCCUGGGUGUCAGGGAACCCAGCUUCGGCCUCCCACAUCUUAGGCUGUGUUUUCUUACCCCCUGAGUGGUGUCUAGGCGCUUCCCUAAUGCCUAGCAUCUGAGGCAGCAGCGCAGGGUAAAUGCAGUCUAGUAUGCUUCUUGAGUUUACCUCCCCAGUGGUGCCACCCAGCACCCAAGCAGUGGGGCAGAGCACAGACCCACGUCUGGCACUUCCGCAUUCUGCCUGCCCAAGCAGAGUAUCCCACACCCCAGUGGCGGGGCGGAUGUGGACCCACAAUUUCUCACUCUGUGAAUGUCUUUUUCUGCAUAUAAUCAUCAUGAAUGUAUGCAUGUGAAUGUGUACGCACAUACAUGUGGAGGCUGAAGGACAAUCUGGUGUGGCUGCUUGUAUUGCGAAUGCUAAUUAUGUUCCCCAUAAAACUGCAAGGAGCUUCUGGGAACCUGCCCCCAGUUGGUUCUGAUUGGUAAAUAGAGAUGCCAGCAGUCAAUAGCUAGGAAGGACAGACAGAGGCGGGAUUUUAGGACCCUGCCCCCUCUUGGGACCGGAAGCAGAGAGGAGAAGGAGGAGAUCCAUCAGGUUGGAAGAGUGUGGAGUGACGCCAUGCUUGAGAAGAGAGCAGGACAAAAGAGCACGGCCCUGAGGGUUGCCCAACAGGGUCUAGAGCGGCCAAGAUAGAACAUAGAAUUCAGUAAGUAGAAACUUGGCAUUUCUGCCGGGAGGUAGAUUCUAACAGCAUGGAGGUUAGGCAGUGGCCCAGCUCUUGUGCCAUUUAAGGCAUAUUAACAUAUAAAGGCUGAGUGUGCGUCUUUGGUCUUUCGUUUGGGAACAUUAACCAUUGGGGAUUGGGGCGAGCAAAACCCGGCCACCAGGAUUAAUAUUUAACGUUACAAUGUGGAGUGUCAGCCUCAGGAUCAUCACCCUCUCAUUUGAUUCAGGGUCUCUGAUGGGCCUAGAGCUCCCCAGUUAGGCUAAACUGACUGCUAGUGAGACCCUGGAGCCUCCUUUCUCCACGUCCCCAGUGUUGGGAUUACAAGCAUGUGUGAGGCCGUUCCCCCUCUCCCUUCUUUAUGGCCGUUUUACUGAGGUGGGGAGGAGGGGAGUUCAGGCUACUGUUUCCCAUUGGAGACCUUCUGGCGAGCUUUCUACCCGCUUCAGCAUAUCUCGUGCUUUCCCUUCUGUCUCACUGAUCUGCAGAGCGGCAGAGCACCUUGGCUGAACUGUCUUUGAGGACUUUCAUUGGGGCUCCAGCUGAGCACAUCACAAGGUCGAAGUUCACCAGUGACGUCAGUGUCAGUCAGUGUCACGGGGCACCGGUCACCAGCCGUUUGGUGUCUGUGGUCCCAAAGGCUCUGGUGUUUGAAUCCUUGGGCACCAAUUGGUUGUUGGAGGAAGUACAUCACUGAGGGUGGGGCUUGGGAGUUUCUAGCCUUCCCUCAUUUCCGGUCUGUUUUCUCUGCUUCAUGCUUGCAUUUGUGGGUAUAAGCAUGUAGCUUCUAGCUCCUGCCAUUAUGCCUGCAGCUCCCGGCCAUGCCUCCUGCCACAAUGGUUUUAACCCUGUGGAACCAUGGGCUCAAUUUUAAAUCUUUCCAAUCUAGAGUUACCUUGGUCAUGGUGGUUUAUUACAGCCAUGGGGAAGGAGUAGUUUCUAUCCCAUUUCCUGUCUCUCAGGAGCCAGGAGAAGAGGGACCUGAACAAGAGAGAGAGAAAGAGAGGAGAGGCUGUGGAGAUCUCGAGGACAGAUUCAGCUAGCCAUGACAUGCUGUCUGUGUUGUGGUAGUAAUGUUCUGAAAAUAAUCGUUUUUGUUGUUGAUAAAGCCUUCUGUAAAAUUUCAUGCUGAAGAUCCCAGGAGUGAGCAUCCAGUUCCCCUCAUAGUAGUAGAGAGAUGCCUCGAAACACACACACACACACACACACACACACACACACACACUCGUGCCAGCAAACCACUCUGGGAAGCCUUUUUUGAUAAUCUAAAAUAUCUUUUAACCAGUUUAAAAAAAGUGAGCCUUUGGGUUCAUCUUUUGAAAAACAAUCGAUUUUAUAUUUAAGCUCGUCUCUGUGUGCGAGCCCAGUAGGCCUUGUGUCCAUUCCCUGGUUAUGCCAUGGUUGGAUUCUAAAUGGUACAUACACUUCACCAGACUUGAAAACUGGUGUCACUCACUCAGGGGUCCUCCGGACUGACCUCCAAUCAGCUCCCUUCAUUUUGGAGACAGUAUUCCCCACUGGUGACUUGUAUCGGUACUUCUUUCUCUUAUCCAGUUCCCCAUAGGCGCAUGCAAAUCAUGUUGGAUUUGACCUAGUAGCCACAUUCUAAUUUGCUGGCGUGAUGUGGUACGUAACUCAGAUGGACUUUAAGACUCAUCAGAAGGCCUUGCUGUGCAAUUGGAAGUCAGACUGUCCUUUAUGGAUGGCCUCGUGCAUGGCUGAUCUAAAAUGUGCUCCCACCCAUCGGAAAUCCUCAUACUAUUUUCCUUUCAUUAGAGGAGAAAAACAGAAUUCAGCUGGACAUACACACUGAAAUGAGAUCCUUAAAUAAACAGUCCGGGGCUUAAUAAUUUAUGGGAAGAUGCAAGGGGAAAUGAGGAAAAGAAUAGAAUCAGAGUAGACAAACACCACGUCCCUUUGAACUGUCCCACACGAAUCAUCAGAACUGUGUGUCUCCAA